AACCCCACCUGUUGGAAUGCUGGAGCGCACAGACGGAAGGUCUCCCAUGAAUUUUUCUGCAGCAGUGGGAUUAACCUUGAAGCAUUUAACGGUUGCUAGCAAAGCAGUUGGUCCGAUGUGCAGAUUCUCGCGGUGGAUGCACCGCAUAUAACUUUGAACCACGGGGCUUCUAUUUGGCAAGAUCCACUGAUGCUUGCUCAGGUACGGUAAUUGCGAAUGGCGCAGACGACCACCAGCUCGCAAUAGCUCACCAUCAAAAAAGGGGUUCAAGGAUUUAAGCUUCUUGGAGGACUCACCUGAUUUCAUUCUCACGAUCUCUUCUGCAAACUCUUGACGCUGUACCACAAAUACUAUUACCUUCAUUGCAUCUUGCAUCUCAGGUAACAGUUCAAGUUCCACUGUGGUAUUGACGAAAACCGUGGUCUUGAGUUCGGGAAUAUCUUCAUCUGGCAACGGUUCAGGAACAUCCAUUUGGCAUUCUUCACUUCUCAAAAACAUUGGUCCGUUCCACCACAGAUCACUUGUGGCCAAAAUUUCGGCAGAAAGCCCACGGGACACUAUAUCAGCAGGAUUUUCUGCAGUGUUCACAUACUUCCACGAAAAAUAAUUUCCGCUAGAAGUAAUCUCACCAACUCUAUUUCUUACAAACACUUCCAGCUGUUCGAGAUUUUUCUUCAGCCAGGCUAACACGAUUUGGCUUUCUAAACUCAACACUAUUUUCCGGAAGGGUAGUUUCAAAGUUUCCAACA